rnacentral:rRNA from 1 species
GACGAACUUUGGCGGCGUGCUUAACACAUGCAAGUCGAACGGAAAGGCCCUGCUUUUGUGGGGUGCUCGAGUGGCGAACGGGUGAGUAACACGUGAGUAACCUGCCCUUGACUUUGGGAUAACUUCAGGAAACUGGGGCUAAUACCGGAUAGGAGCUCCUGCUGCAUGGUGGGGGUUGGAAAGUUUCGGCGGUUGGGGAUGGACUCGCGGCUUAUCAGCUUGUUGGUGGGGUAGUGGCUUACCAAGGCUUUGACGGGUAGCCGGCCUGAGAGGGUGACCGGCCACAUUGGGACUGAGAUACGGCCCAGACUCCUACGGGAGGCAGCAGUGGGGAAUAUUGCACAAUGGGCGGAAGCCUGAUGCAACAACGCCGCGUGCGGGAUGACGGCCUUCGGGUUGUAAACCGCUUUCGCCUGUGACGAAGCGUGAGUGACGGUAAUGGGUAAAGAAGCACCGGCUAACUACGUGCCAGCAGCCGCGGUGAUACGUAGGGUGCGAGCGUUGUCCGGAUUUAUUGGGCGUAAAGGGCUCGUAGGUGGUUGAUCGCGUCGGAAGUGUAAUCUUGGGGCUUAACCCUGAGCGUGCUUUCGAUACGGGUUGACUUGAGGAAGGUAGGGGAGAAUGGAAUUCCUGGUGGAGCGGUGGAAUGCGCAGAUAUCAGGAGGAACACCAGUGGCGAAGGCGGUUCUCUGGGCCUUUCCUGACGCUGAGGAGCGAAAGCGUGGGGAGCGAACAGGCUUAGAUACCCUGGUAGUCCACGCUGUAAACGGUGGGUACUAGGUGUGGGGUCCAUUCCACGGGUUCCGUGCCGUAGCUAACGCUUUAAGUACCCCGCCUGGGGAGUACGGCCGCAAGGCUAAAACUCAAAGGAAUUGACGGGGCCCCGCACAAGCGGCGGAGCAUGCGGAUUAAUUCGAUGCAACGCGUAGAACCUUACCUGGGUUUGACAUGGAUCGGGAGUGCUCAGAGAUGGGUGUGCCUCUUUUGGGGUCGGUUCACAGGUGGUGCAUGCCUGUCGUCAGCUCGUGUCGUGAGAUGUUGGGUUAAGUCCCGCAACGAGCGCAACCCUUGUUCACUGUUGCCAGCACGUUAUGGUGGGGACUCAGUGGAGACCGCCGGGGUCAACUCGGAGGAAGGUGGGGAUGACGUCAAGUCCUCAUGCCCCUUAUGUCCAGGGCUUCACGCAUGCUACAAUGGCUGGUACAGAGAGUGGCGAGCCUGUGAGGGUGAGCGAAUCUCGGAAAGCCGGUCUCAGUUCGGCUUGGGGUCUGCGCCUCGCCCUCCUGCAGUCGGGGUCGCUCGUCCUCGCAAAACAGCUCCGCUGCGGUGNNUNCGUUCCCGGGGCU